UUUAUGCACGUUUAGCGUCUGCUUGUGAUGGCGCCCUUUCUUGCAGGUCCAGCCGAUGAACGUUUGAAGUGGUUACCGAUGGGAAAACAUUACAUAGCUACUGUCAGCUCCACUGAAAAGGUGCAAAGAAAACAAUUCUAACACAAUACGCCACUGUGAAUCUCGGUGUGCGGCUCUCCCCGUCGGACGGCCCGUGACUGACAUGUCGCCUCGGUCCCGGGACCAACGUUCGCCUCGCACCCGGGAUGAAGGCAUGACCUGCGCGCCUAGCCCUGCGUGUGACCUGCACCCGGCGCUGACUAGCUUUCAAAGGAUAGAUGUCCUGCAGAUGUAAGACAAACAAACCAAUUAUUUCAUGUAAGUCAUUUUUCCCCACAGCUGCAGGGGCCCAAACGCUACAUGGACAUAUGUGGCCUUUGUAGUAACAUCUGUUAAUCAGUGUCAGCUGGAAUGCAGGAGUAAAUUACAGUGCUGUUCCGGCUUAGCUGGGCUGGCUGAGGGUUUGCAUGGUGAGGUCAAGGUACCGCUAUUAAAAGUGAUUAAAGUUCCAGCAUCCUAAAAGCAGGGUAUAUGGUUUCCCCAGUGAUUGACGUGCCGCGGCUACAGAUUUCUUGCGGGCUGACAUCUCACCCAGCCUUAAGACAAAUACUCUAAAGAGGAAAUGUCCCCGAAAAAGAGAACAGAAGCAAACUAAAAUGUGAAAUCGACAUCUUAAUCCACCUGUUAAUUUUCCAGCUUUCCUGCAAAGACUAUGCAAAAGGAAAUGCUUGUCUCCAUUACCUUUAACCCGAAACCAUAAAAUUCAUUAAGAAUAAUGGUCUUAUACUGUAUGCAUCAUGAUGUAAUAACUGCAACAAGUACCUUCAAUAUAAGAUUUCUUGUGCACCAUUGCUGAAUACAUUACAUCAUCUCUCUCAUCAUAAUCUUUUUUUUUUUUUUGGGAAUAAAGGGGAAAUCUUGCUUUAUUAUCUGCGUUUAAAUAUUCUCUUCAGUGUAGUUUCUCUCAUGGAACCCAGGCCCACAAAAAGAACGCCGGCACGUAUGUAAUUACAGUCAACCGAUUCGCAAUUGCUGAGAAAAGACAAAAAACUUACACUGUUAAUUGUGACGAGGUGCAGAGGUCAUCUCUUGUCAACGCUUUCAGCAUUUAUGGAGAAUCGCUGCAUUCAUUCCUCAUCUAUAAUACGAAACUUGAGUAGGUCUAUAAUAUUAUUGUAAUACAUUCAAGAAAAGCUUUCCCUUCAUUGUGGUCGUUCUCUCAAGGAUGACCUACCUACCUCCCAUCUCAAACACCAGUUUUAUUGCACUACAUAAACAAACCUUUUGUUUACGGGGAUGUUAAGUUGAUAUGUUUAGUGCGGUUUAUGUUUCGGAUAAGACACAAAAAAGGUCUGAAAUUGACCUUGUAACAGAAGAGGAAUAAUAUCACUUUUGAGCAUUUUCAGGGGUGGGUAUCGCGUGUUCUUUUUAUGCCUUAAAUAAAUUAAUUUAUGAAAUCACUGGUGAAAGCCAUUUGGGUCUGACAUUUAAUCUCCCAAAUCCCUCCGCACUUAUUGUUCAUUGUUAAUUUCUCUGUAUUGCAUUUCCUGCCUCAGUGCGACGCUCUAAACAAGUUGCUCAGUGUUCUUCCGCUUCUUAGAAAUGGCACGAAAAUAAAGCGCCCACUUCUGAGACCAGAAGGAAGGAUGAUCAAGCUUUGGACUUAAAUGGUAACAGGGUAUAUAUAUAUGGGUAGAUUAUGAUAAUGUGCCAAACGUUUCGGCGGUUGGGCCUUGAACGUAAUUGAAAUGGCUCAAUAUUUCGGUCUGGGACUUUCAACAAAGCGCACCAUCACCCCACUGUGCUGAGGUUUAGCUACAUACCGUAUUAAAAUCCACUGUUCAUUUAGAGGGAAGGUCCACGUGGAACGAGCAAGGCAGGACAUGUUAGUGCCCAGCGCUUGUCUUGGCUGCCAUGCGCCAUUAGACAACUGUUACCAUUCAGCGACAGGUUUCGGAACUUCCUGUUUACGAGCAAAGUUCGGCUCCUGUAGUUAUAAGAGGUGCCCCUCUUCGCGAACCUGCUAUUUACGCGAGCAACAGAAAUAAUGAUGGCCUGACGUGAAUCUAAAACGGGCAGUGGGGAGGAAGAGGUGGCCGGUACUGGCGGGCCAGAUAAACACAAACAGCUAAUCAACGGACGGAAACGGAGCCGCCUCUUCGACUGGCUGCGUGGCCAUCCUGAUUCCGGAUCGUUCCUUUACGGGGUAUCGAUAUGUGUGUGGCGGAAGGUUGACCGAGUUGUAAUGGGAGAGGGGGUAUGUCACAUAAUGUGGAAUGGGGGGGGGGGGCGCAUUGGAGCUGAGGGUGUUUCUGAAACGCGGGCUUUGAUCUGCAAGGAACCACCAGUAUGCCAUACACCACAAUGGCGUUCAUGAUCAACUCGGGCGGGUGCCACAGGUUUCAAGAAUACCGUGAGAAACGUAAGCUCCGCUGCAGAGAUCCCAAAUGUGAACAUGACCCAAAAACUGAAACUAAGGAUUAAAAUAAUUUAAAAAAUAAUAAAGACAAACGGUCCUAUACUGGGCUUCGUCAUUGAAGUAUUGUGUCAUUUUCAGGAUGCAUCUAAAUCUUGUAGUAUCAACCCAACUCAUGUCUAAACCUGAAAACUGGUUAUAAGGGUUGGUCAUCAUGCAGCAGGACCCCAAAGCUGUUUGACACGGGUGUCCUGAAAUGUCCCAAAAUGUCCCGAAGGUGCUUUCUGAUCCUUCAAUGAGCUCUCUGAACAGAAAGAUUAGGUUACAUGUCAGAGAGCUGUCUUUCCCAGCUUACCUUAUAUACAGUGUAAGG